UACGUAGGGUGCGAGCGUUAAUCGGAAUUACUGGGCGUAAAGGGCUCGUAGGCGGCCAACUAAGUCAGACGUGAAAUCCCUCGGCUUAACCGGGGAACUGCAUCUGAUACUGGAUGGCUUGAGAUUGGGAGAGGGAUGCGGAAUUCCAGGUGUAGCGGUGAAAUGCGUAGAUAUCUGGAGGAACACCGGUGGCGAAGGCGGCAUCCUGGACCAACACUGACGCUGAGGAGCGAAAGCCAGGGGAGCAAACGGG
rnacentral:rRNA from 1 species